CUUCUCUCUUCAAAUGAGUUUGCUUUUCAUGUUUUUACCCCAAAUCCCGAUAUCUCUGGAACAAGUGCUGUUUAUAUGCGAUGAGUACUAAACCGUGUCUACUCUGGCUCGGUUCUAAGAUUUCGGUGUGAUUCAUUUUGGAAAUAUUUGUUCCCUCGUUGUUCAGCAAACCAGUAGGGAUAUUAUUGCAUUGUGGAAGGGGAGACCGAUAGGGAGUAGCCAUACUGUAGAAAUCAACAAAUCUCUUUUAUUGGGCAAGUGGGACACAAGAACCACCACCACAGCAGCAGCAGCAGCAGCAACAACAGCAGGAACAACACAACAACAACAACAACAACACAAAUGAGAUUGUCGAUCACAUAUUUGGAAACAAGCAUACAAGCAUUUGUUCUGAAUAAUCAAUUUCGCGGAGGUAGAUUUAACCUUAGUAAAUUUGGCUUGAUUUAUUUGACACUUGUAUGUUAUUUGUCACAAUCUCAAUAGUCGUUCGCCUCGCAAUUUCCUCACUACCAUCUCCACGUCUGUGUAAAUUUCACGAACGAUAGCUUGAAAUAAGUCCAUUCAAUUUGUGCGGAAAAAUUUUCAAUUAUUUCGUCUUAGUUUUCAUUUGACAAAUAAUUAUCAAUGCCUGCAGAGUUUUGUACUUACAAUCGAAAUGUUAGUCUUGCUUUAAUUUGUUUCCACAAUUGUACAUACGAAUUCAACCGAGCUGUGAAAGACUUCAAUCCGGGUCUGCAAGCAUUUUCUUUUUAUUGUGCAAAAAUGCAUUUGAAAUAGAUAUAUCGUAACGGAAAUCCUAUGACAAUGAAAGAAAUACGGCGAUGCUGACUUUUAUGAGCAAGGAUCUGGCUGAUUCAUCAAGAACAACGAAUAUGGCCAAGAGAUGUCAGGGAACUACCAGUUUUGGCUGAUAACACUCAGUACCUAAAAAACAUCAGAAAGGCAUAAUUGCUACUCGCUAUCAUAUGCUAGGUAGAAAACACGAGAUGGCUGCCCAAAGCAACACAGCUCUUUCCAACGAUGGUUUUGACUGCGGCAGUUGUAGCGACAAAGAAGUUCAAAAAAUUGGGAAUGCAAAUGGUUCGAUUCAUCUGGUACCUCCAAGUUAUCUCUAUAAUACAGGAUCUGGCCAGACUACAAGGGAUCUAGACCAAGAGCAUAACAACCAAGAUCGUGCAUCUGAGGAUGAAUUAGGACCCCUUCCAUCCAAUUGGGAGAAAGCCUACACUGACACUGGAGAAGUAUAUUUUAUCGAUCAUAACAGCGGCACGUCGCACUGGCUUGAUCCAAGGUUGUCCAAAUUUCAAAAACGUUCCCUAGAAGAAUGUUUAGAUGACGAGCUACCUUAUGGGUGGGAAAAAAUAGAUGAUACUUUGUACGGAACCUACUUUAUCGACCAUGUGAAUCGGCGAACCCAAUACGAGAACCCAGUACUCCAAGCCAAACGGGCUCAGCAGGGCGUGACAGACUGUAAAAGUUCAGUAUUCACUAGAAACCCUGAUAAAUUAAAGGGGCUAAGAAUACGUAGUACGCUGCUGAAAGGUACCAGAGGACUGGGUUUCACUAUUGUCGGUGGAGAUGACACUAUUGAAGAAUUCCUUCAGAUAAAAAGUGUCGUGCCAAACGGACCAGCCUGGAUAGAUGGAAAGCUGCAGACUGGCGAUGUUCUUGUUUAUGUUAAUGAAACCUGUGUUCUUGGAUAUACUCACAACGAAAUGGUAAACGUGUUCAAAUCUAUUUCGAGUGGGGAGACUGUCACUAUCGAGGUAUGCCGUGGCUACCCACUGCCCUUUGAUCCAAACGAUCCCAAUACUGAAGUGGUGACCACAAUAGCAGUCAAUGCUCCAGAUGUACCGAUUGAGGAUCCAACACUUUACAUGGACAUUAAUCCUAGUAUGCAUUCUAAUGAUCGUUUCAACUAUGUCGACGGAAACCUGUUACCAGUACAUAAGAUAUCGAACAGUGAAAAUCUGGCAACCACAUCCGUCAAUUCUAUGCCUGAUCUCUGUAUUUCUGAUAAAGUUACAACCAUAAAGCGGCCAAAUAGUACAGACAUACUACUGGGAGAAAGUGUGAAUGAGGACAAUGGCGAUGAAUAUAUGGUGGGACGAGAUGUACAGCAGGAAAAUAAUGAGGGGGAUGAAGAAGUCGGAGAAGACGAAUCUAGACCUUACAAGGAACGACAACAGCCUCCGGUAACACCUGCCAAGCCCGAGUUUCUUAGCAUAUUGAUUGUAAAAGGUACAAUGGGGUUCGGUUUCACGAUAGCAGACUCGGCACAUGGACAGAAAGUGAAAAAGAUCUUGGACCGGCAGCGCUGUAAAAAUUUGAUGGAAGGUGAUAUAUUGGUUGAUAUAAAUGUGACAAAUGUAAGAAACAUGUGCCAUUCAGAGGUUGUGCAAGUGCUCAAGGAUUGCCCAAGGAACAAAGAAGCCCUUAUCCAUGUCCAGAGAACCCACAGGAUUAAGGAUAAGAAGGAGAGAAAUUCGGCAGAACUAUUCAGGAGCAAAACACCGACUGCUGACCUCUAUAGUACGCUAUCAAAGACCAUUCUGCCAAGUAGGCCAAAGACUCCGUUAGUUGAUACAAGAACGACGGGGCAUAGGCCAAAGACUCCCACCACUGCCAGCACCGAAAUAGACAACUUGGGCUGGUCCACCGAGACUCGGGUGGAUUCCAAUUCCAUAAAUGGUCACCGUUAUAGAUACGCAGACUUAAGUGAGCCUGUGAACUACAAGGACACGCUGUACAGGGGGAAUUUAACCAUGCACUUACCCGAGACCUUUGCUGCUCUUGCCAAAUUGGAUGAUGAACCAGGUAGAAGUUCGGACAAGCCAUGUUGGGGCGCCACGAAAGAGGAUAGCCAAAUUGACAAAGGUGGAUCAAGGACUGAUGUAUACUCUGUCGAUAUUCCUCGUCUCGAUGGAUCACUGCACAAGCAGAAUGGUGGACGAAUUGUAGAAUACAAUUACGAAGAGCCGUACCUGGUGCAAUCGCAACGACAAUACACAGAACAACAGUUUGAUUACCAUCCCUAUGGCAUUGGCCAAGAACAAAAUGUUGACACUGGCGAGAUUUGGGAAAAGCGUAAGGAGACAACGAGCUUUGAGCACGAACAACCACACUCAGGUCCCCUUGCCAGGUACCACCAGCAAUACGGGAGUGAAUUACUUUGCCCUGUAACACCAGGUAUCGAAUGGGUCGAAAUGCUGGUUACACUCGUGCGACAAAAUACUGGAUUUGGUUUUCGAAUAGUCGGGGGUACAGAGGAAGGAUCACAGCAGGUUUCGGUUGGACAUAUCGUCCCAGGUGGAGCCGCUGACCUAGACAAUCGAUUGAUAACAGGUGACUUGAUAAUGUCAGUAGACGGGGAGAGUGUAAUGAAUUCUUCGCAUCAUCACGUUGUUCAACUCAUGAUAGCGGCAGCGCAGAAUGGCCGAGUAACACUCGGUAUUCGACGUCGCAUCAACGUUCAGGAGACCCUCCAUAUGUCCUAUGAUCGUCACCAAAAUGUACAAUAUCCAUACGACAUAACUGUGUCGCGCCUGGAGAACGAGGGUUUUGGAUUCGUUAUUAUAUCCUCACUGAACAAGGCUGGGUCGACAAUUGGAAGGAUUAUUGAAGAAUCACCCGCGGAAAGAUGCGGCCAAUUGAAUGUUGGGGAUCACAUUCUAGCAGUUAAUCAUGUCGACAUCACUAACGUAUGCCAUAAGGACAUAGUCAAUCUGAUAAAAGACUCGGGUUACUCUGUGACACUGACAAUAGGUUAUCCCUUGGAUGAUUGUUGCAGUACUAUGUCGUUAUCACAAAAAAAGAUUUCGGCUAAUGUGUGUAUUAUUGUAUGACGCAUAACAAAACGGGUAUGAACGAACACUUGACAUGCCAUGUCAUACCGUAAAUGUCUCUUGAAAGGGCCCCUUCUGAGCCAUGCAAGCAAUACCCUACGCCAACACUAGCACAACUGUUAUCUGAGCUUAGCAUAGCGGACAAAUGCUGCAAACCAAAAGUUGUGCAUGCGUUAGCGGAGAGAGCGACCACAUGGCUCUUUCAAGAAACAUUCACAGAUGAAACAGCCGGAGAUGGUGAUGGCGGACAAUACCAUGCUGUCGAGUUGACAAGGGGUACUCGAGGGUUUGGAUUUAGUAUCCGAGGUGGACGAGAAUUC
rnacentral:misc_RNA from 1 species